rnacentral:lncRNA from 10 species
GGACAGGAGUUGGUGUGAAGCUUCUCUGAGCCUCAGUUCCCUCAUCUAUGGAAUAGGAGCCAGAGUUCCUCCCUCCAGGGUCAGAAGGCAGCUAGCUGAUAAGGGGAGCAGCACCCACGGUGAGGUCUGACCAACAGCCGCAACCAUAGUGGCGCUUUGCUGAGUCUUCCUUGAGCUCCCUGUGUGCCUAACGCAGAGCUUCUCCCCUCCCCGGGGCUUUGGAAAAUCUGCUCUGAAAUGUCUUGUGUCUACAGGAUGAAUUAGCCAAACGACAACUCCGGUGUGAGCAGAACGGGCUCAUUGGGUCAAGACACAAUUCCACCACAGAACGGGUUUCACAAAGGACCAUGUCCCAUCAACUCAGCAAUGAAACCAUCGUGGUCUGGAAACCUGAGAUCAGGACCCACAGAAUGACUGGCGGAAUGACAGACCAAAUGUGGAAGAUGUUCCAACCAGGAAUGAAUCACUUACUUCCAACGUUUCCUAAAGAGGCAAUGGGCUCCUGGGCCCUUUCUCACUCGGGAGGGCCUUUCCUCUGCCCCAUCAUUCUGAGGGUUUCUGGAAGCCCGAGAGGAAAGCCCCAUGCUAUCCCCAUUUCAUAGAUGGGAAAACUGAGGCUUGAGGACACUUUGCGGCCUCCAAGGGCUGUUCUCUUCAUUCCUCCAGCAGAGUGGAUAUGAGACGGUGCAGGGUCUGGAAUGUCUGGGCAGAAGGAAGAGCUGGAGCAAAGGCCUGGAGGCUGGAGAGCGCUGUCGGGGGGCAAGUGGGGCAGUGUCCCACUGCGGGGUUUCAUCUCAGCUCUGCCAUGUCUUGGCUACGUGACCUCUGACACCCUACUGGGCCUCUUUGAUCCCAGACUCACCUGUAGAAUGGGUGUGUGAGAAGAAAACCUUCUGGAGCGGGGUGUUGAGGAGAGAACAGUGCCUGACACAUCAUAAUAAUAAUGCUGAAUAGAUGUUAUUUUCAUUCCUAACCACUUCCUCCAGGAAGCCCAUCCUGACCUCUAGCUCCCAAAGUCACCUGGACUUCCUCCAUCACAGACCUUGCCACAGUGUGAGAAACUGCCUCAUCCACACACCAGCUUCUCACCUCCACCCAGACCCUCUGAUUGGGACUCCCCUGAAGACUGUGUCCCCAGAGCCCAGAAAGAGUCCAGCACAGAGCAGCUGAGGGGGCAGGUGCUGGUGAACAGUGUCAAUGAGCCCCUGCUACUCACCAAGCCCUUCACACACGGGUCCUUCAUUUAAUGUCUUUCUUCUCCUAGAUAGAACCUUGGCUUUGCCAAGACCGGUAUAGUUGCUGCUCAAGAAAUAUGUGAGGAAAUUGUUGAGAUGAACCAGCACUCAGGGGAAGGGAGGCUUUCUGAGGCUGGGGCCUUAGCAGGUGGAGCUCCUGGGAUAAUAAUAAUAAGAAAGAUGCCUGGACGCGGUGACUCACACCUGGAAUCCCAGCAAUUUGGGAGGCUAAGGCAGGCAGAUCACUUCAGGCCAGGAGUUCAAGACCAGCCUGGUCAACAUGGUGAAACCUGGUCUCUACUAAAAAUACAAAAAAUUAGCUGGGCCUGGUGGUGUGAGCCUAUAGUCCUAGCUUCUCGGGAGGCUGAGGCUGGAGGGUCAAUGAUUGAACCUGGGAGGUGGAGCUUGUAGUGAGCCGAGAUCGCGCCACUGCCACUGCACUCCAGGCUGGGCAACACAGUGAGACUCUGCCUCCAAAAAGAAAGACAACAAUAAUCAUUAGUCUUUACUCUGCUCCAGGCACCAGGCUGAGUCUUCUCAGUUCAUCUCCCCAGCAGAUUAGUUCUAUUAUUGUUUCCAUUUCACAGAUGGGAAAAUCAAGGCACAGGGAGGGGAGGUGGCUUACUCCAGGUCACACAGUUAGUGAGAGGCAGAGGCAGGAUCAAAGCCAAGCCUGUUUGACUGAGGAGCCCGCCCCGAGACCUUAACCACACAACCCCUCCCUAGAAGGAAGGUGCCACUACUGGACACAUUUUGGAGAUGGAAACCAAGGCUAAGAGAGUCAGGAUGGCCUGCCCAUGUCUGGACACAGAAACUGAGGUUAAGCAGGAGAUGCCCGAGGCGGGGUCCCUGUCUCCUAGGCCAGCACCCUGAAGAAGGGGUGGGAGACAACCCCCCACCCCCCAAGCUGUCCCCUGCUUGUUGGAGUUUCUGGUCAAUACCCUGGCCUCUGUUACCCAGCCCAGCACCCAAGACGCUGCCUCUUCCGCCUGCCUGGAGUCUCGGGUGCCUUCACAAUCGGAUUCUCUGUCUCUGCAGCUGCUUUCCAUUUGAGCCCUUUGUGCUGAAAAUAAAAAAAAUGAAAAGAAAACUUGG